GCAGUCGAACGAUGAAGCCCUUCGGGGUGGAUUAGUGGCGAACGGGUGAGUAACACGUGGGUAAUCUGCCCUGUACUCUGGGAUAAGCCUUGGAAACGAGGUCUAAUACCGGAUAUUACCUUCUUCCGCAUGGGAGUUGGUUGAAAGUUCCGGCGGUACAGGAUGAACCCGCGGCCUAUCAGCUUGUUGGUGGGGUAAUGGCCUACCAAGGCGACGACGGGUAGCCGGCCUGAGAGGGCGACCGGCCACACUGGGACUGAGACACGGCCCAGACUCCUACGGGAGGCAGCAGUGGGGAAUAUUGCACAAUGGGCGAAAGCCUGAUGCAGCGACGCCGCGUGAGGGAUGACGGCCUUCGGGUUGUAAACCUCUUUCGACAGGGACGAAGCGAAAGUGACGGUACCUGUAGAAGAAGCACCGGCUAACUACGUGCCAGCAGCCGCGGUAAUACGUAGGGUGCGAGCGUUGUCCGGAAUUAUUGGGCGUAAAGAGCUCGUAGGCGGUUUGUCGCGUCGACUGUGAAAACCUGGGGCUUAACUCUGGGCUUGCAGUCGAUACGGGCAGACUUGAGUUCGGUAGGGGAGACUGGAAUUCCUGGUGUAGCGGUGAAAUGCGCAGAUAUCAGGAGGAACACCGGUGGCGAAGGCGGGUCUCUGGGCCGAUACUGACGCUGAGGAGCGAAAGCGUGGGGAGCGAACAGGAUUAGAUACCCUGGUAGUCCACGCUGUAAACGUUGGGCGCUAGGUGUGGGGGACAUUCAUGUUUUCCGUGCCGUAGCUAA
rnacentral:rRNA from 1 species